rnacentral:rRNA from 1 species
GACGUAGGGACCGAGCGUUGUCCGGAAUCAUUGGGCGUAAAGAGCGUGUAGGCGGCCUUUUAAGUCCUGCGUGAAAUCCUGCGGCUCAACCGCAGACGGUCGUGGGAAACUGGAGGUCUAGAGUGCGGGAGAGGAGAGUGGAAUUCCCGGUGUAGCGGUGAAAUGCGCAGAUAUCGGGAAGAACACCCGUGGCGAAGGCGGCUCUCUGGAACGCAACUGGACGCAUGAGAC